rnacentral:rRNA from 1 species
CCUACGGGAGGCAGCAGUGGGGAAUAUUGGACAAUGGGGGGAACCCUGAUCCAGCCAUGCCGCGUGUGUGAAGAAGGCCCUCGGGUUGUAAAGCACUUCAGUGAGGAAGAACGCCUGGUGGUUAAUACCCAUCAGGAAAGACAUCACUCACAGAAGAAGCACCGGCUAACUCCGUGCCAGCAGCCGCGGUAAUACGGAGGGUGCGAGCGUUAAUCGGAAUUACUGGGCGUAAAGCGCGCGUAGGUGGCUUGAUAAGCCGGUUGUGAAAGCCCCGGGCUCAACCUGGGAACGGCAUCCGGAACUGUCAAGCUAGAGUGCAGGAGAGGAAGGUAGAAUUCCCGGUGUAGAGGUGAAAUGCGUAGAGAUCGGGAGGAAUACCAGUGGCGAAGGCGGCCUUCUGGACUGACACUGACACUGAGGUGCGAAAGCGUGGGUAGCAAACAGGAUUAGAUACCCCAGUAGUC